UACGUAGGGUGCAAGCGUUAUCCGGAAUUAUUGGGCGUAAAGAGCUCGUAGGCGGUCUGUCGCGUCUGCUGUGAAAACCUAAGGCUCAACCUUGGGCUUGCAGUGGGUACGGGCAGACUAGAGUGCGGUAGGGGUGACUGGAAUUCCUGGUGUAGCGGUGGAAUGCGCAGAUAUCAGGAGGAACACCGAUGGCGAAGGCGGGUCACUGGGCCGCAACUGACGCUGAGGAGCGAAAGCAUGGGGAGCGAACAGG
rnacentral:rRNA from 1 species